AACGAACGCUGGCGGCAUGCCUAACACAUGCAAGUCGAACGAGACCUUCGGGUCUAGUGGCGCACGGGUGCGUAACGCGUGGGAACCUUCCCUUAGGUUCGGAAUAACUCCCCGAAAGGGGUGCUAAUACCGGAUAAUGUCUUCGGACCAAAGAUUUAUCGCCUUUGGAUGGGCCCGCGUUGGAUUAGCUAGUUGGUAGGGUAAAAGCCUACCAAGGCGACGAUCCAUAGCUGGUCUGAGAGGAUGAUCAGCCACACUGGGACUGAGACACGGCCCAGACUCCUACGGGAGGCAGCAGUGGGGAAUAUUGGACAAUGGGCGAAAGCCUGAUCCAGCAAUGCCGCGUGAGUGAUGAAGGCCUUAGGGUUGUAAAGCUCUUUUACCCGGGAUGAUAAUGACAGUACCGGGAGAAUAAGCUCCGGCUAACUCCGU
rnacentral:rRNA from 1 species